AGGGUGCGUAGGCGGGUUUGUAAGUCAGUGGUGAAAUCCCCGAGCUUAACUUGGGAACUGCCAUUGAUACUGCAAGUCUUGAAUUUUCUGGAGGUAAGCGGAAUAUGUCAUGUAGCGGUGAAAUGCUUAGAUAUGACAUAGAACACCCAUUGCGAAGGCAGCUUACUACGGGAAUAUUGACGCUGAGGCACGAAAGCGUGGGGAUCAAACAGGAUUAGAUACCCUGGUAGUCCACGCCCUAAACGAUGAUUACUCGACAUUAGCGAUAUUACAGUUAGUGUCUAAGCGAAAGCAUUAAGUAAUCCACCUGGGAAGUACGACCGCAAGGUUGAAACUCAAAGGAAUUGGCGGGGGUCCGCACAAGUGGUGGAGCAUGUGGUUUAAUUCGAUGAUACGCGAGGAACCUUACCUGGGCUAGAAUGCUGGGAGAUCGAUGGUGAAAGCCAUCUUUGUAGCAAUACACUGCCAGUAAGGUGCUGCAUGGCUGUCGUCAGCUCGUGCCGUGAGGUGUUGGGUUAAGUCCCGUAACGAGCGCAACCCCUAUCUUUAGUUGCCAUCAGGUAAUGCUGGGAACUCUAAAGAAACUGCCGUCGUAAGACGUGAGGAAGGAGGGGAUGAUGUCAAGUCAUCAUGGCCUUUAUGCCCAGGGCUACACACGUGCUACAAUGGGAAGGACAAAGGGCUGCCACUUAGCGAUAAGGAGCUAAUCCCAAAAACCUUCUCUCAGUUCAGAUUGGAGUCUGCAACUCGACUCCAUGAAGCUGGAAUCACUAGUA
rnacentral:rRNA from 1 species